rnacentral:rRNA from 1 species
UUUUCUGCCACCGAAUACAUUAGCAUGGGAUAAUGGAAUAGGACCCUGUCCUCCUAUUUUCAGUUGGUUUUGGCAGCGCGAGGACUAGGGUAAUGAUUAAUAGGGAUAGUUGGGGGCAUUAAUAUUUAAUUGUCAGAGGUGAAAUUCUUGGAUUUAUGAAAGAUUAACUUCUGCGAAAGCAUCUGCCAAGGAUGUUUUCAUUAAUCAAGAACGAAAGUUAGGGGAUCGAAGACGAUCAGAUACCGUCGUAGUCUUAACCAUAAACGAUGCCGACCAGCGAUUAGGAGACGUUGAAUACAAAACACCACCAUCGGUGCGGUCGUCCUUGGCGUCGGUCUUUCGGGGCCGGCGCGGGGGCGGCUUAGCCCGGUGGCACCGGUGAAUGACUCCCCUAGCAGCUUGUGAGAAAUGACUCCCCUAGCAGCUUGUGAGA